UGAGCUUUCAGUUCUUUCAGACCCUAAGUACAGUCUGAUGGUGCUCUGAGGAGGUUUCUGGUUCUUAUUUAGUGAAUCACGGCUCUAUCAGGCUUCAGAGUGACACCCGGCUUGCUAUCAGACUUGAAGAGCUACUGUCUAGUUACAAUAUGACAAAUUCAAAUUGCUUGUGAGAUAAAC